rnacentral:misc_RNA from 1 species
CUAUGAAUGUUGUAUCUUCUGCUUAAUUUAUAUGAACCUUUUUCAUCUAUUUGACCAUAUAUUAGAGCCAAUACGUAGUACAAGUUUGGUUUUAACCUUUCCAGAUACCCGGUAUAUGCGUGUUUCUUAUCAAGUAUGCGUUCCGCAUUAGAAAUAACAUGUAGUUGUUUCACAAACGGUGUUCUGAAUAACAAAGACCAGUGUGGAAAUGCUAGAUAUUCAACAAUACAAUCGCAAUGUUGGAAUUUGUCGUAAAUUGCAAUCAAGUAUCCAUGUUUUUAUCAGAAGCCUGUAAGAGAACGAUCCAUCUUUGCUAAAUAUAUUUUCGACGCGCGAAAGAACGCGUCAGUCUGUGCACUGCGUUGCACGAGUAAGGUUGUAACGGUAGGUUUCUUAUUUCUAAAAGAAAUAAUAUUUGUACUACGUGAUAAACUUUGCUCGGGUUAAGUUUCAAUAUCGAAUAUAUAGAAGUGAUAAGUGCCGAAAUAAGAAAGAAUUGAACAUUGUGGUUAUAAAGUGUGCAAGUGGUUAAUUCUUCCAUGGAAAUGCGGAAUGAAUUAUGCAGACCUCUUUAUCGAAACAAGUAAUCGGUUGUAUCGGAAAGUGCACCUCCGGUCUGAAUCCUGAAGAAUUAGAUCAGAUUACGGAUAAUAUAAAUAAAACUUUGGCACAUCCAAGAGGGAGAGAAAUUUUUAAAAAGUAUUUGGUGCAACGAGACCUCAGGGAUAAUCUCGAGUGUUUGGAACUAUACGAAACUUGUUGCGAUUUUAUCGACCAAGAAAAAAACUGUUCACAGUCGAAAAAGGAAUCAUCCCUGGGACCAUUAAUCGAUAAUGUCACGAGGGUGAAAGAAAUGGCAGAAGAUUUGGAUGGGGUGCCCCAGAUAGAUAUGGCACUUCUGGAAUGUUUUAACAAGGCUUUAAAUAGUGACUCGAGAACGGAUUUACUUGGCGUUUUGGUGGAUACCAGGGAUCGUUCUCGGAAUCAUUUGAGACGCGCUCACGAAGGUUUCAAGAAAUAUGCCUCCGAGCCCUGUCCUAUGACCAAGUAACAAACAAAAAUUUAUUCCGGCAGAGCGUGACGGAUAUACGUUUGGGUUGCGGGAUUGCUUUACCAGAAUCUUUAAGGAGAGAAGUGCAGAAAAAUUGGCACCAAAAAUUGAUGAUCUUCAACAGAAACUAUUGAAUCUUGGUGAUAGACUCGUCGAGCGCAACAAGGCAGUCGAAAAUAUUUGCAAAAAAUUUUU